GACGAACGCUGGCGGCGUGCUUAACACAUGCAAGUCGAACGGAAAGGCCCUGCUUUUGUUGGGUUCUCGAUUGGCGAACGGGUGAGUAACACGUGAGUAACCUGCCCUUGACUUUGGGAUAACUUCAGGAAACUGGGGCUAAUACCGGAUAGGAUCUCCUGCUGCGUGUUGUGGGUUGGAAAGUUUCGGCUGUUGGGGAUGGACUAGCUGCUUAUCAGCUUGUUUGUGGGGUAGUGGUUUACCAAGGCUUUGACGGGUAGCCGGCCUGAGAGGGUGACCGGGGUCAUGGGGACUGAGAUAGGGAGCAGACUCCUAUGGGAGGCAGCAGGGGGGAAUAUUGCACAACGGGCGGAAGCCAGAGACAGAAGCGCCGCGAGCGGGAUGACGGCCUUUGGGUUAUAAACAGCUUUCGAAUGUGACGAAGAGUGAGUGACGGUAAUGGGUCAAGAAGCCCCGGCUAACUACGUG
rnacentral:rRNA from 1 species